GCUCCUUUAGCUCAGUGGUAGAGCGUGGGAUUGCAGAUCCUAAGGUCGCUUGUUCGAACCAGGCAGGGAGCU
rnacentral:tRNA from 1 species